rnacentral:rRNA from 1 species
UACGUAGGGGGCAAGCGUUGUCCGGAAUCAUUGGGCGUAAAGAGCGCGUAGGCGGCCCUGUAAGUCCGCUGUGAAAGUCAAGGGCUCAACCCUUGGAUGCCGGUGGAUACUGCAGGGCUAGAGUCCGGAAGAGGCGAGUGGAAUUCCUGGUGUAGCGGUGAAAUGCGCAGAUAUCAGGAGGAACACCGAUGGCGAAGGCAGCUCGCUGGGACGGUACUGACGCUGAGGCGCGAAAGCGUGGGGAGCAAGCAGG